GAGAGGAAAAAUAUCUUCUCUCAGUUUCCUUCCCCACGCACGCGACCCCUGUCUCUCUUUCCUUUCCUCUCCUCCAACCCCCGCCCCUUUCCUGCUGCUUCGCCGCCGCCGCCUCUUUCUCCGCCAAAUCCACCGCGCGCCGCCCGUGCCCGUGCCCUCCUCACCUCCCGUCACGAGCUCCACCUGCCCCAGCCUCGUAUACCCCGAUCUUCUCGAAUUGGAUCUCGGGAGCACACAGGAGGGGAGGCGAGGUGCCUGCGCUGGCGGCAACGGUGCGUGGGUGCGGCUGAUGUCCACGUCCGCGGCCUCGCAGGCCAAGGAUGCGGCGGCCAAGAUGGCGGAGGCGGCCAAGGGCGACGGGGAGAAGAAGGAGGUGGCGAUUACGUCAAGGACGCUCUUUGCUUGCUCUGCUCUGCUCUGGUUUCCCCAUUUCGAUUACGUCACCGGCGAGGGGUCGUCAGAUCGUAGCGUGUGUGCGGUUGAUGGGCGCUAUUAUUUUAUUAACAUGUUGCGCCGCCGCCGUGUGUGAUUGAUUGGUUUUGCUGCCACAGCAACCAUGGAAGAUGUUCGAGUGGCAGGGUGGCCCCAUCAUCCUCGCCCAGGUGGAGACGGGUACAUGGAGUAGGCGAUGGGCGGCGGCGCCAAGCCGUACGCCAACUAGGCCACCAAGAUGGUCGUCGCCACUGACGCCAGCUUGCCGUGGGUGGUGUGCAAGCAUGACGAUGCUCCCGACGCCGCGGACAUCACAUCACUGAAUCAAGGUGCCAACUUUGGAGCCUGAUUCGUGAUGGCUGCAAAAAAAUACCUGCAAUGGCUUCUACUGCAACUACUUCGGCCCCAACUCCAACAGCAAGCCUACCAUGUGGACCGAGGCCUUGCCUGGAUGUUCACGACAUUUGGUGGCGCGGUGCCGCACCGGCUGGUGGAGGACAUGGCGUUCGUGGUGGUAAGGUUCAUUCAGAAGUGCGGGUCCUUCGUCAACUACUACAUGUACCAUGGACUGGACCGCCGAUGGCCUGUUCAUCGGGACAAGCUACGACCAUGAUGCACCAUUCGACGAAUAUGAUCUGCUUAGGCAGCUGAACUGGGGACACCAGAGGGACCUGCACAGGGCCAUCUAGCAGGCCGAGCGGGUGCUCGUCUCCGGCGAUCCCUCCAUCCAGUGGAUCGGGAACUAUGAGAAGAGGAGGCCCUGGCUCGGACAACCGCCGCAGUGUCGGGUGCGCCGGUGAGGUCCCUGGGGUCGGUGCGGCGGGCGUGACCCCUCCCGGCUCCCCGCCCUCGUCCGCGACAACGAGGACCAAGAUGCAUUUACGGUGUUGUCUGGUGCGUCGUCAGGUUUGGUUGGUCGAGGCCAGGUAUGAGUAGCUCCUGAGGCUGAUGGAUGGAUGGAUGGAGAUACCAGGGUCAUGUCGCUGGGUGGGCAAAGACCGGGGGUACAACCUCCUUUUCAGUAAAAAAAUGAGGGGCGAUGAUGAUGUGGCUGAAAUAAGCAUGUCUUGAGCAAUCAAGACUGCUGUAGCCUGUGGGUACUAAAUUAGAGCCCACUCUUACCUCUCUGGCAGCCUGUUCAAUUCAUUGGUGAUGUUGGAUGUUCUGCACCUCGGAUGGUCAUUCUGACGAGUGAUAACCAGGGCAGUUCGUCUACAUUGUGAUGUUUAUGUUAUGCAGCAAGAGAUCUGAGUGUUGGGCUUGAAGAUCAAAGACAAAACUGAGCCCUCUUUUGCUAUGCUACAAAUACACAAAUUUUCCUUAUCUAUUAUACAGUGUUCUUCUUUCUUUUCUAUUCCUCUGUUGUGUUGAUGUGAGUGAAGAUCCAUCUGGACUUGGGAUUUAUGUCUUUUUUUGGUGAUGAACACAACCACCCUAAGCUUACAUGAAUUGGUUCAUGGUUGCGCUGGACAUUCCCAUGACGCCGCCGGCGCCAACGCCACGGCUUCUGCUUCUUACCCAACCAAGGUGAGCCGGUCCAGCUACUGCUAGCAUGUCUUAUGCUGCUCGCACACUCACAAUGUUGUGCCAAAAGGGAAGUUAUUUUCAUCUGUGUCUGCUGAAGCAUAGACUGCUAACCCACCGUCAAAACUAAAGCCUGGAAUUGAUCUAUGUUUCUAUAUGUAUGACAGAGAUGAAUCAGUUGAUUUUUUUAGCAACCAUAUGAACCAGUUAGAGAACCUUCUCGUUAUAAUUGUUGUCAAAUCAGUAAGUUUUGCUUUAUAUGAGAAUUCAGUGUCAGUCUCAUGUUGUAGACGUUCAUGACCUUUCUUUUUUCUCUUUGCAGAGUUAUGAUGCUACUACUCACUUUGAGACAAUUGUGACAUGUGUUCUUAACAGUUUUCGCAAAAAUGUUGACAUUUCUUCAGUUUUAUAUAUGCAUGAGUGAAUUUAAUCUUUUCUGUUCAAAUACUUCAUGUUUUCCCUCAGUUUUUUUUGUGCACCAGUUGGAUAGAUGAUAAAUUGGUAAGCUUCUUUCUCUUUCUUUGGGACAUGGGUAUUGAUGUUAGUAUUUUGUAUCAUUAUCUUAACCUUGGUAGACUGAUGGUUAGCAUCAGGCAACUGCAGAGAUUUAUUGAUUUUUAUAGUCCCCUUCUAUAUAAAUCUUAUAUUUGUUCUGUUCGUCAUCAGUGAAAACUUACCUAACUAUUGUUAAUCUGAGUUUGUAUUUUCAUAUGUGUUCACCAAUUCGGCUUCUGGGUGGCAAGAUUAGCUGAUUUAAAGCAUUCUCUUUGGGCAAACAUUAGUCACUGCUAUCCAAAAAUCUGCAGAACGAGCUUGUUGUAUACUUGUUUUAACUCACACAUAAGGGGCAAAUAAGCACGAAUGGAAAAGGAACACAUAAGCUUUCUUUAGUUGUGCUCACUUUACAUUAGUGGACAAAGUUACAUAAGUUUGCCUGUAGCACUACUAAUAUUAGCGAUUAAAUUUAGCUGCUUUUUAGUUCUAUAGGCUGAAAAUGAUACUGAGGUUCUAAGCAUACUAUUUGAGUGGGUUUUCUUCUUGAUGUGCAGCUAAAUUAGUCUUCCAGUUUGUCAACUUAGAUGAUAAGAAUUAUAAAUUCGUGUGUAAUUUUCAUUUGUUGGCGCUGAACACAUAGAUGGGUGUUUGGCGUCCUUUUUUCUUUAUCCAAUUAGACAGUGUUAGUGCUUGUGUAAAGAUACAACUAGAAUUGCUCCGUUCGCUAGAUAAAAUGAUUCUGUUCUGGACGGUGGCACCUUUUAUUGUAUCCAAAUUUUGUUUACCUCUUUCCGAUUUGUUGCAAUGACUUCGUUAAUUUGUACUCUUUCCGUCUGAAAAAGCUUGUCCCAAGCUUGUUCCUCAAAUGGAUGUAUCUAGCACUAACUUGGUGCUAGAUACAUCCAUUUAAGGGACAAGCUUUUUUGGACAGAGGGAGUACAUGUUGGGUUCUCCUUGGAAAAACCUUUGUAAUUGAUAUUGAAAUGGCAGGAUAAUCAAGCUUCCUUUCUGUACUGGAAGAAGCCAAACAGUGUGUAGUUACACACAUCAAUGGUACCGUCUAUCGGGUUAGGGCGACCAUGAGCGAGGUUGUUCCCUUCUCUGGGAGUAAACCCGAUCCAGUCACCUAAGUUAAUGUCGUCUACGAGGUAAGGGACAUGUUCUUGGUCUCCAUGCUAGCUUAUACCUUAACACUGAUUUUCUGUCUCCAUUGCUUCAUGUUCACGUACAUGAGUGAUACGUAUUAGGGAAUAAAGCAGAAACACACAUCAUACAGUCUGGGAGCGCAAUGACAGAAAUGGCUGAAUAGGUUUACACACAGUAAAUGUUACUAGCUUUUACAUUGUUAUCAUGACAAAUAUUAGAGCAGUGAGGGACUGGUUUCAGGAGAGUAGUAGUGUUAAUAACAACAUUUACAGUGAGUCUGCAUACUAAAUUCCACACAGAAGUUUCAAACUAACGGUAUCUGCUAGGGUUUCCACUUGUGAUGAAUGUAUUAGUCUGCGCUCUUUAGAGUACCGGUUUAUAUCUUAUGUAAUUUCACCAUGAUGUAUGAAGACUUACAGCCGAGUAAAAAGCUAGAAAAUUGUUGAUGACAACCGUUUACUGUCAGAUUUCAAACUAAUGUUCUUAUUAUGCUUUUCAACUGUGAUAAAUGCAUUAGUCUAUUCAAGGUUCCGGGAGUGGCUGAGAUUCGUUUUGUUCUCUCAGCAUAACUCAAAAUUCAAUACGUGAUCUGAAAGCAUCAAAUAAGGACCUCCAUGUUGAAAAAAUUCUGAGCUAAUUUGCAUUAACAUAAAUUUUGCGCACCUAUGCCCUGUUGCAAAUUAGCUCCCAUUCACCAUUGAAUUUUGAGUUUUUCGAAUAGGUUAAUUAGAGUUUCUAAUUUAUAUAUAGUACCCAGUUCAGACAACACUUUCUGUUAUGCUAACUAGCAAGUUUUGCCGUGCAUGCCAAUUGUUAUGGUAAGCUGUGAUACUGAUGCACCUCCUAUAUGAUAGGUGACUUUGAAUGUUCAUUUCAUCUUCCUUUAUCUUGCUAUGGUUGGCUGUGAGACUGAUGCACCUCCUACAUGAUAGCUGGUUUUGAAUGUUCAUUUCAUCUUUGCUUAUAACUCGGUAACUCAACCACUGUUGGCCUUAUGUAGCAGGUCAACCCCACCAUCUCUGCCCCCCUUUUCAUGGCGGCUUUGGACGAUAGAUGAAUCGAGAUUGUCCCUUUCGUCCACUCACAUCCUCAGUUAGUAACUUCCCAAUCCUCUCUCUCUCUCUCUGUGUGUGUGUGUGUGUGUGUGUGUGUGUGUGUGUGUGUGUGUGUGUGUGUAUUGCUUGAUCCAUAUAUCACAAGUGAAUAUCUGGUUCUAGCAUGAACUUUGCAGUAUACAAAAUCUGAACUUGUGAUCAUGUUUCAUGGUCAAGGUUCUGUACUAAACAGAAGGAAAUACUAUGAAGCAUAUAUUUUAAUUUUCAAGCAAAUAGAUCAUAAGCCUGCAAAAAAAAGUUAGAUCA